rnacentral:rRNA from 1 species
AAAAUUUUAAAAGUCGAACAGACUUAAUUUUUUAACUUCUGCAUUAAAAAUUAAUUUUAAUCCAACAUCGAGGUCGCAAACUCUACUAUCAAUAAGAACUCUCCAGUAAAAUUACG